AGGACGAACGCUGGCGGCGUGCUUAACACAUGCAAGUCGAGCGGAAAGGCCCUUCGGGGUACUCGAGCGGCGAACGGGUGAGUAACACGUGAGCAACCUGCCCUUAGCUCUGGGAUAGCUCCGGGAAACCGGAAUUAAUACCGGAUAUGACCUAGGCCGACAUCGGCCGUGGUGGAAAGUUUUUCGGCUAGGGAUGGACUCGCGGCCUAUCAGCUAGUUGGUGGGGUAAUGGCCUACCAAGGCGACGACGGGUAGCCGGCCUGAGAGGGCGACCGGCCACACUGGGACUGAGACACGGCCCAGACUCCUACGGGAGGCAGCAGUGGGGAAUCUUGCGCAAUGGGCGAAAGCCUGACGCAGCGACGCCGCGUGGGGGAUGAAGGCCUUCGGGUUGUAACCGCUUUCACCAGGACGAAGCGAGAGUGACGGUACCUGGGAAGAAGCGCCGGCUAACUACGUGCCAGCAGCCGC
rnacentral:rRNA from 1 species